AAUAAGUGCAGUUUUGCACUAUUCAUCUUCAACGUUUGACCGUUCGUCUUAUUUGAAAAUUUUUUAUGAUUAUUAUUUUUAUUGUUAUUAUAUGAUAAAACAUGAAUAGUGCUUUAUGUGUGACUAAUUUUUUUAAAAUUUUUCAAAUAAGACGGACGGUCAAACGUUGGACAUGGAUUUCGACGACUGCACUUAUU
rfam:Oryza sativa Japonica Group DNA, chromosome 1, cultivar: Nipponbare, complete sequence.